UCUUUCCUCCGGGACUUUGACGUGACAUCCUACCGUCCUGGCAUCGUACGUCUGGAGACUUGGUAGCAGUCUAAGAAGGCUUCUUCUGUAAGCUUUGAGUUCCAGAAAAUGAAAUUCUCGGCUACGGGCUGUUCAACUAUUUGUGGAACCACAGAAGGUUUGAAGGGGUACCCAAUGGAUUCUCCGAGUCUUCAGCUGCUUGCCAGAAAAACAGGCAAGACAACAAAGCUACUUGUCUGUUGCUCUGGGCCUCUGAGGGCAAAGUUGCUCAAGAUGUGCUGGCUGACUAUGUUCCUACGUGGGAUAUGCAGGUAGCUCUAUGUGCUUGCUUCCUAGGAGCCUCAUCAGACCAAGCCCCUCAGGUUUGAUUCCUGCUACCUGGUGCUGAGGGUCUAGACAAACAUUCUGAAUUUUUAAAAGUAUAUCAUGCAAAUAAAUCUGAAGUAGUAUUGGCUCCA